rnacentral:rRNA from 1 species
UACGUAGGGUCCGAGCGUUGUCCGGAAUUAUUGGGCGUAAAGAGCUCGUAGGCGGUCUGUCACGUCGGCUGUGAAAACCCGGGGCUCAACUCCGGGCCUGCAGUCGAUACGGGCAGACUAGAGUUCGGUAGGGGAGACUGGAAUUCCUGGUGUAGCGGUGAAAUGCGCAGAUAUCAGGAGGAACACCGGUGGCGAAGGCGGGUCUCUGGGCCGAUACUGACGCUGAGGAGCGAAAGCGUGGGGAGCGAACAGG